AAUUACAAAAACCGAACUUGUCCUUGAUAAAAUACGAAAUAUAUGUAUUAUGUAAAAUGGAAAAUAAAACUCGAGAAUAGGGGUUGCCCAAUCUUCGAUGCCACAGAUGUAGUGAAGGUCCGGUAAUGGUGAAGUUUAUGUUUGGUCGUGAUACUACAAGAAAACUGCUAAUUAUGUGGGGAUUUUUCCUAGGGAAAAUUUUUGCAACUAUUUCAUGCGAAUCUUCUUGCAAAAAUUUUAAAUUCCUCAAUAUUAGAAUAUAUUACCUACGAAAUGUUUAUUCCCAACAAAUUUCGCAGGUAAAUUUGGCGUCAUUUUGCGGCAAACAUGAAGUUGCGGUAUUACCUGGGAAAAGUGAUGCUAGAGUUUGAAAGAAAGAAACAAGAAAUAUUAGCUGCUGAAAAUGCAUUAGAUGGGAAGGAAGAAACUAGUCAGCCUUCUCUACUAAGUGAAAUGGAUAUCUGGGUGCAAUCAGCUGGUGGAAAUAAACAAAGAGAGUCAAAGGUCUUGGAUCCCUAGGUCGAACUGUAAAGACAUCAAAAGCAAUCAAUAUCAACUUUAUCAACUUUGCUUGAAGAUAAUGAUGAGAUGAUUUAAGUCACAGAUAAAUGCUUCAAAUGCUGAUUUGUAUGCUCGGUUAUAGAAUGAGCGGCACAAAAAUAAGAAGAUGAGAAAGGAAUAGACUUGUCAAUGAAGCAUGUAUAAAAGAAAUUAUUCUCAAAUGAGAGAUCAUCUCAAGAAGAUAACCAAGCUUAUGAAAAUGAAAGUGAUGACGAGUCUAAUAUCAUGAAUGAAAGAGAUUCUGACACGGAUUACGUGAAUGGAAGUUAUCAUAAUUAUGAUUGAGAUGGUUGGUAGUUCUAUUGAGGAUACAAAUUUGAAGUAUUUUUAUUUUUGGACCAUUUAAGAGUUAUACAUUAUUGACAUGGAUAUUAUGAAUUAUGCUUUUUUGUUAGUUGGAAUGAUUUUAUUUUGAAUGAUGAUUUUGAGAAUUAUUGAAAGUUUUGAAGAGGUUUUUGUUUAA